UACAGAGGGUGCGAGCGUUAAUCGGAAUUACUGGGCGUAAAGCGCACGUAGGUGGCGACGUAAGUCGGGUGUGAAAGCCCCGGGCUCAACCUGGGAAUUGCAUUCGAGACUGCAUUGCUGGAGUACGGAAGAGGAGGGCGGAAUUCCCGGUGUAGCGGUGAAAUGCGUAGAUAUCGGGAGGAACAUCAGUGGCGAAGGCGGCCCUCUGGUCCAGUACUGACGCUGAUGCGCGAAAGCGUGGGGAGCAAACGGGG
rnacentral:rRNA from 1 species